UACGUAGGGUGCAAGCGUUAUCCGGAAUUAUUGGGCGUAAAGAGCUCGUAGGCGGUUUGUCGCGUCUGCUGUGAAAACUGGAGGCUCAACCUUGGGCUUGCAGUGGGUACGGGCAGACUAGAGUGCGGUAGGGGUGACUGGAAUUCCUGGUGUAGCGGUGGAAUGCGCAGAUAUCAGGAGGAACACCGAUGGCGAAGGCAGGUCACUGGGCCGCAACUGACGCUGAGGAGCGAAAGCAUGGGGAGCGAACAGG
rnacentral:rRNA from 1 species